GGGGCUAUAGCUCAGCUGCCAGAGCGCCUGCUUUGCACGCAGGCGGUCAGCGGUUAGAUCCCCCUUAGCUUCACCA
rnacentral:tRNA from 1 species